CCUACGGGCGGCUGCAGUGGGGAAUAUUGGGCAAUGGAGGCAACUCUGACCCAGCAACGCCGCGUGAAUGAAGAAGGCCUUCGGGUUGUAAAGUUCUUUAAUUAGGGACGAAGGAAACGACGGUACCCAAAGAAUAAGCCACGGCUAACUACGUGCCAGCAGCCGCGGUAAUACGUAGGCGGCAAGCGUUCUCCGGAAGGGCUGGGCGUAAAGGGAGCGUAGGCGGCGCGGGAAGUUAGGAGUGAAACCCCGGGGCUCAACCCUGGGACUGCUUUUGAAACUGCCGUGCUUGAGUGAUGGAGAGGAAAGCGGAAUUCCUAGUGUAGCGGUGAAAUGCGUAGAUAUUAGGAGGAACACCAGAGGCGAAGGCGGCUUUCUGGACAGUAACUGACGCUGAGGCUCGAAAGCGUGGGGAGCAAACAGGAUUAGAUACCCCAGUAGUC
rnacentral:rRNA from 1 species